rnacentral:rRNA from 1 species
GAUGAACGCUAGCUACAGGCUUAACACAUGCAAGUCGAGGGGAAACGCCAUCGCAAGCUUGCUUUUGAUGGGCGUCGACCGGCGCACGGGUGAGUAACGCGUAUCCAACCUGCCCAUCACUUGGGAAUAACCUUGCGAAAGUAAGACUAAUACCCAAUGACAUCCCACGAAGACAUCUGAAUGGGAUUAAAGAUUUAUCGGUGAUGGAUGGGGAUGCGUCUGAUUAGCUUGUUGGCGGGGUAACGGCCCACCAAGGCAACGAUCAGUAGGGGUUCUGAGAGGAAGGUCCCCCACAUUGGAACUGAGACACGGUCCAAACUCCUACGGGAGGCAGGAGUGAGGAAUAUUGGUCAAUGGGCGAGAGCCUGAACCAGCCAAGUAGCGUGCAGGAUGACGGCCCUAUGGGUUGUAAACUGCUUUUAGAAGGGAAUAAAGUGGGUCUCGUGAGACUUUUUGCAUGUACCUUAUGAAUAAGGACCGGCUAAUUCCGUG